UACGGAGGGUGCAAGCGUUAUCCGGAUUCACUGGGUUUAAAGGGAGCGUAGGCGGAUUGAUAAGUCAGUGGUGAAAGCCCCAAGCUCAACUUGGGAAUUGCCAUUGAUACUGUUAAUCUUGAGUGCGGUUGAAGUGAGCGGAAUAUGACAUGUAGCGGUGAAAUGCUUAGAUAUGUCAUAGAACACCGAUUGCGAAGGCAGCUCACUAAGCCGCAACUGACGCUGAGGCUCGAAAGCGUGGGGAGCAAACAGG
rnacentral:rRNA from 1 species